GAUGAACGCUGGCGGCGUGCCUAAUACAUGCAAGUCGAGCGAACGGACGAGAAGCUUGCUUCUCUGAUGUUAGCGGCGGACGGGUGAGUAACACGUGGAUAACCUACCUAUAAGACUGGGAUAACUUCGGGAAACCGUAGCUAAUACCGGAUAAUAUUUUGAACCGCAUGGUUCAAAAGUGAAAGACGGUCUUGCUGUCACUUAUAGAUGGAUCCGCGCUGCAUUAGCUAGUUGGUAAGGUAACGGCUUACCAAGGCAACGAUGCAUAGCCGACCUGAGAGGGUGAUCGGCCACACUGGAACUGAGACACGGUCCAGACGCCUACGGGAGGCAGCAGUAGGGAAUCUGCCGCAAGGGGCGAAAGCCUGACGGAGCAACGCCGCGUGAGUGAUGAAGGUCUUCGGAUCGUAAAACUCUGUUAUUAGGGAAGAACAUAUGUGUAAGUAACUGUGCACAUCUUGACGGUACCUAAUCAGAAAGCCACGGCUAACUACGUG
rnacentral:rRNA from 1 species